UGGGGAAUUUUGCACAAUGGGGGAAACCCUGAUGCAGCGACGCCGCGUGAUUUAGAAGGCCUUUGGGUUGUAAAAAUCUUUUCUAUGGGAAGAAAAUGACAGUACCAUAGGAAUAAGGACCGGCUAAUUACGUGCCAGCAGCCGCGGUAAUACGUAAGGUCCGAGCGUUGUCCGGAAUCAUUGGGCGUAAAGGGUACGUAGGCGGGUAAGCAAGUUAGAAGUGAAAUCCUGUAGCUCAACUACAGUAAGCUUUUAAAACUGCUCAUCUUGAGAUAUGGAAGGGAAAGUGGAAUUCCUAGUGUAGCGGUGAAAUGCGCAGAUAUUAGGAGGAAUACCGGUGGCGAAGGCGACUUUCUGGCCAUAAUCUGACGCUGAGGUACGAAAGCGUGGGUAGCAAACAGG
rnacentral:rRNA from 1 species